rnacentral:rRNA from 1 species
AUUGAACGCUGGCGGCAGGCCUAACACAUGCCAGUCGAACGAGUGGCGGACGGGUGAGGAAUUCAUCGGAAUCUACUCUUUCGUGGGGGAUAACGUAUGGAAACUUACGCUAAUACCGCAUACGAUCGUAUGAGCCCAGAUCGGAUUAGCUAGUUGGGGGGGUAAAGGCCCACCAAGGCGACGAUCCGUAGCUGGUCUGAGAGGAUGAUCAGCCACACUGGAACUGAGACACGGUCCAGACUCCUACGGGAGGCAGAAGUGGGGAAUAUUGGACAAUGGGCGAAAGCCUGAUCCAGCCAUGCCGCGUGUUUGAAGAAGGACUUCGGAUUGUAAAGCACUUUAAGUUGGGAGGCGUUACCAAAAGAAUAAGCACCGGCUAACUUCGUGCCAGCAGCCGCGGUAAUAC